rnacentral:lncRNA from 1 species
UUUUCUCCAAGUUUCCUUGCAGUCCAGAUAUCUGGGAGAAGUUAUCAAACUCUUUCAGUAAGAGCCUUAGGGAAAUUUCAUCUCCUCUACAGCACAUCAGGAGGUCAUCUGCAAAACAGAUAUGAGUGAGUUGUAACUUGGAACAUUUGGGAUGGAAAUUGAAGUCUGGGCUCCUGUUUAAUUGCUUCAGUGUUCUGUUGAGG